rnacentral:lncRNA from 1 species
AAAGAGACACCUUAUGACCUUAAUUUGCAUUAAAGUCAUUGCUCUUUCCUUAAAUAUUUUCUGUCGUAACCACUACGCUAGACAGUGUAUUUUAGCCAGCAUCCAAAACUACAAUUAAACGUCAAGGACCAUACCUCAUUUAUUUUCAAGAUAAGCCUACUUAGCUAGUCUUUCUGAGUACUAAUGUGAAUUUAUGUAGUUGAAC